rnacentral:lncRNA from 1 species
CACAAAAGGGCCAUUACAAUAACGGAGCGGUCUAAUAUCAAAAUUAAGAAAAUUAGGUAUGUCUCCACCAACGAUCAGGCAAGAUCGAAGAAACUCUGGCAUAUGCAUCCCAACUAAGAUUGCAAACUUAGAAUAAUAAAAAAGAGAUAAAGCUUGAAAAAACCAAGCCAUAACAAUACAAAUAAAACUCUCACCAAGGAGAGAUGAAAGGCUCUCACAAAAUAAAGAUGAAAAACUCUCACAAAAGGAGAGGUGAAAACUACACAGAGAACCCAAAGAGUCUCUGCAACUUAUUUCAAACAUAAAGAAAUUGCGAAAAAGAUGGUGGUGGAGAUCUGACGCCGAAAUGCAGGUGAAGAUCCGACGCUGAGCCGCAGCCGCCACUAAUGGUUGGAUGAAAAUCAUAACAAAACUAAGACAAAUAGGGAAAACCCUUUGUCUUUGAAAAUGGGGGAAGAGGUGAAAGGAGGAAGAGAGGAAGAGAAGAGAGGAGAGGGGGGAAGACCAAUGGCUUCUUCCCCCCUCAAUGUGGAAAAGGCUCUAAGAGUGUUUUUUUG